ACUCAUCCAGUAAGUACUUAUUCAAGAGCUGAACUAUUACUGAUUUAAUGUUGAAUGGCUCUUUACCACAAAUCUGCUUGCUCUUGAAUCUAUUAGAUCCCCAAGAAACGGAUGAACAUUUGGAAACAACAUAAAUGUGGAGAGAAUUUAGAGCAUCCAGAUUAGGUUAUAUACUACUUCUUUUUGGUAGAUUAAGGUAGAAUCUCCGCUGCUAUCUACACCAUACUUGGCUAUGUCAAAAUUGCCAUUCCAAUCGUUAGCACUGUCUAGAGAGCCUCUCCCCCAC
rnacentral:lncRNA from 1 species